ACCUGGAGGGCUCAGUUGGUACAGCAUGUGACUCUCAAUCACAGUGUCGUAAGUUCGAGCCCCGUGUCAGGUG
rnacentral:tRNA from 1 species